rnacentral:rRNA from 1 species
GGGCCCGCACAAGCGGAGGAACAUGUGGUUUAAUUCGAUGAUACGCGAGGAACCUUACCUGGGCUAGAACGUCCCUGGAAUACCGCGGAAACGGGGUAGCCGGCAACGGCCGGGGACGAGGUGCUGCAUGGUUGUCGUCAGCUCGUGCCGUGAGGUGUCGGGUUAAGUCCCAUAACGAGCGCAACCCCUACCGUUAGUUGCCAGCGGGUCAAGCCGGGCACUCUAAGGGAACUGCCGGCGUAAGCCGCGAGGAAGGCGGGGAUGACGUCAAAUCAGCACGGCCCUUACGUCCAGGGCUACACACGUGUUACAAUGGCCGGUACAGAGGGCAGCCACCCCGCGAGGGGGCGCGAAUCCCGAAAGCCGGUCUCAGUUCGGAUCGGAGUCUGGAACCCGACUCCGUGAAGCUGGAUUCGCUAGUAAUCGCGCAUCAGCCAUGGCGCGGUGAAUACGUUCCCGGGCCUU